UACGUAGGGGCAAGCGUUGUCCGGAAUCAUUGGGCGUAAAGAGCGUGUAGGCGGCUCGAUAAGUCUGCUGUGGAAGUCCAGGGCUCAACCCUGGAAGGCCGGUGGAAACUGUCGGGCUAGAGUCCGGAAGAGGCGAGUGGAAUUCCCGGUGUAGCGGUGAAAUGCGCAGAUAUCGGGAGGAACACCAAUGGCGAAGGCAGCUCGCUGGGACGGUACUGGAACGCUGAGACGGCGG
rnacentral:rRNA from 1 species